GACGGAGGAUGCAAGCGUUAUCCGGAAUGAUUGGGCGUAAAGCGUCCGCAGGUGGCGAUGUAAGUCUGCUGUUAAAGAGUCUAGCUCAACUAGAUAAGAGCAGUGGAAACUACAUAGCUAGAGUACGUUCGGGGCAGAGGGAAUUCCUGGUGUAGCGGUGAAAUGCGUAGAGAUCAGGAAGAACACCAGUGGCGAAGGCGCUCUGCUAGGCCGUAACUGACACUGAGGGACGAAAGCUAGGGGAGCGAAUGGG
rnacentral:rRNA from 1 species